rnacentral:rRNA from 1 species
GUACACGCUGUGACUAGCAUAUCAAUAAGCGGAGGAAAAGAAACUAACAAGGAUUCCCUCAGUAACGGCGAGUGAAGCGGGAAGAGCUCAAAUUUGAAAUCUUGAAAGGUCACCUUUCACGAAUUGUAGUUUAAAGAAGCGUUUUCUGUUACGAUCGUAAUAUAAGUUCUUUGGAAUAGGACAUCACAGAGGGUGAGAAUCCCGUCUAUGAUUGCGAUUUGUAGCUUUGUGAUACACUUUCAAGAGUCGGGUUGUUUGGGAAUGCAGCCCAAAACGGGAGGUAAAUUUCUUCUAAGGCUAAAUAUUGGCGAGAGACCGAUAGCGAACAAGUACCGUGAGGGAAGAUGAAAAGAACUUUGAAAAGAGAGUUAAAUAGUACGUGAAAUUGUCAAAAGGGAAGCGUUUAACACCAGUGUUGUUUUCUGAAAAUCAACCUCUGUUAGCUUUAUGCAUGUUUGUUUAGACCUAAUCAGCUAUCUUUCAUGUUCUAUUGUUUGCAGUGGUGCACUUUUCAGUUUACAGGUCAACAUCAGUUUUUUUUACCGUAAAAAAGUUAAAGAAAGGUAGCUCACUGGCUCCGGUCGUGAGUGUUAUAGUCUUUUUCCUAUGCGGUAGGAGAGACUGAGGUCUGCAGUGUAGGCUAUUUGGCUAGAUACUCAGGUGCUAUGUGAUACCAUUUCAUAAACAACUUGUUGAUUAUGUUUUGUCUAUUGCAUACUCGCUUGUACUAUCAUACCUACGCUUAGGAUGUUGAAUCUGUGCGAGACUAC